rnacentral:misc_RNA from 1 species
CAGAGAAAUUCGCCCUCACGGGUGACUCUCCAACCCUAUGUUAUCAUACCUUUGUUGCUUUGGCGAGCCGCCUCGUGCCACCGACUUUUGCCGGUGAGUGCUCGCCAGAGGACCUAAAACUCUUGAAUUUAUUAUUGUCUGAGUACUAUAUAAUAGUUA